rnacentral:lncRNA from 1 species
UUAGAGGGAUAACUAAAAAUAACCUAAGAUUACAUAAAAUAGCUAAAAUACUCAAAUAAUAAAAAUUACAUGAAACAUAAAAGUUACUUCUACUUCGUUACCACUACACAUUGAGUCUUAAAUUGAUGUAAGACGUCCAGUGGGGAUAUUGGAUCAAGUUUUACGUGUACAGGACUUCCAAGCAUUGCUGAGGGAUGUGGGGUCUAAUUUAUUAAUGGGUCUCGGUGUGGUGUUUCUGCUAUAUUGUAGAUAGUUAUGGCCUCCGUUAUCUUCCCUUUCUUCGGGUCUUCCUGUCUCAUUAGGAGUUUCGCAUCUUUCUAUUUUACUGUAACAUCGCUAAAGAGGGCUCGUUGGGCUAGUGCUGUUGUGUUCGCAGACUUAUUUAUAUCUUUUUUAUGUUAUCUAUUUCCUGCCAAAGUGCUGAGUUUUUUGAGUAGAAGGAUCAUUAUUUUAGAUUCACUGAAAAUCACGUAUAAUUUUUUGAAAAUAGUCA